rnacentral:rRNA from 1 species
AUUGAACGCUGGCGGCAUGCUUUACACAUGCAAGUCGAACGGUAACAGGCCGCAAGGUGCUGACGAGUGGCGAACGGGUGAGUAAUGCAUCGGAACGUGCCCAGUCGUGGGGGAUAACGCAGCGAAAGCUGCGCUAAUACCGCAUACGAUCUAUGGAUGAAAGCGGGGGACCGUAAGGCCUCGCGCGAUUGGAGCGGCCGAUGUCAGAUUAGGUAGGUGGUGGGGUAAAGGCUCACCAAGCCAACGAUCUGUAGCUGGUCUGAGAGGACGACCAGGCACACUGGGACUGAGACACGGCCCAGACUCCUACGGGAGGCAGCAGUGGGGAAUUUUGGACAAUGGGCGCAAGCCUGAUUCAGCAAUGCCGCGUGCAGGAAGAAGGCCUUCGGGUUGUAAACUGCUUUUGUACGGAACGAAAAGGCUCUGGAUAAUACCUGGGGCUCAUGACGGUACCGUAAGAAUAAGCACCGGCUAACUACGUGCCAGCCGCCGCGGUAAAAC